CCUACGGGGUGCAGCAGUGAGGAAUAUUGGUCAAUGGACGAGAGUCUGAUCCAGCCAAGUAGCGUGAAGGAUGACUGCCCUCUGGGUUGUAAACUUCUUUUAUAAAGGAAUAAAACGAGGCACGUGUGCCUUUUUGCAUGUACUUUAUGAAUAAGGAUCGGCUAACUCCGUGCCAGCAGCUGCGGUAAUACGGAGGAUCCGAGCGUUAUCCGGAUUUUUUGGGUUUAAAGGGAGCGUAGAUGGGUUGUUAUGUCAGUUGUGAAAGUUUGCGGCUCAACCGUAAAAUUGCAAUUGAUACUGGCAGUCUUGAGUACAGGUGAGGUAAGCGGAAUUCGUGGUGUAGCGGUGAAAUGCUUAGAUAUCACGAAGAACCCCGAUUGCGAAGGCAGCUUACUAAACUGUGACUGACAUUGAUGCUCGAAAGUGUGGGUAUCAAACAGGAUUAGAUACCCUAGUAGUC
rnacentral:rRNA from 1 species